UUAAUAUGAGAGUUUGAUCCUGGCUCAGGAUGAACGCCGGCGGUGUGCCUAAUACAUGCAAGUCGAACGCACUGGCCCAACUGAUAUGACGUGCUUGCACUGAUUUGACGAUGGAUUACCAGUGAGUGGCGGACGGGUGAGUAACACGUAGGCAACCUGCCCAAGAGCGGGGGAUAACAUUUGGAAACAAGUGCUAAUACCGCAUAAGAUUGAUGACCACAUGGUCAUCAAUUUAAAGAUGG
rnacentral:rRNA from 1 species